rnacentral:lncRNA from 1 species
AGGAGGUCCAGGGGGGACGUUCUUCGGUCUAAGUUGGAGGUAUGGUGGUGGUGGAUCUCCGUGGGGUUGUAUCUUCAUCCUAAGAUGGUGGUGGACCUCCAUCAGGAUGUAUUUUCGUCCUAAAUUGGAGUGGAUCUGCUGCGACAUCCGCUACCUGGACGUCAGCAUCCUGGGCAAGUUCGCGGUGGUGAUGGCCGACCCGCCCUGGGACAUCCACAUGGAGCUGCCCUACGGCACGCUGACCGACGACGAGAUGCGGCGCCUCAACAUCCCCGUCCUGCAGGACGAGGGCUUCCUCUUCCUCUGGGUCACCGGGAGGUGAGUGGGGGGACACCUCCAGGUCCUCUGUGGGUGGAGGUCCUCUUGGAGGUCCUCCUUGGGUGGAGCUCUUGGAGGUUCUCCUUGGUGGAACUCUUGGAAAUCCUCUUUGGUUGGACCUCUUGGAGGUUCUCCUGGAGGUUCUUUUGGAGGUCUUCCUUGGUUGGGAUCUCUUGGAGGUUCUCUUGGAGAUCCUCUUUGGUUGGAUCUCUUGGAGGUUCUCUUGGAGGUCUUCCUUGGGUGGAACUCUUGGAGGUCAUCUUGGAGGUCCUCCUUGGGUGGAGCUCCUGGAGAUCCUCGUUGGUUGGGCCUCUUGGAGGUUCUCCUGGUUUGGACCUUCUGGAGGUUCUCUUGGAGAUCCUCUUUGAUUGGAUCUCUUGGAGGUUCUCCUUGGUUGAACCUCUUGGAGGUUCUUUUGGAGGUUCUUUUGGAGGUUCUCCUUGGUUGAACCUCUUGGAGGUCAUCUUGGAGGUCUUCCUUGGUUGAACCUCUUGGAGAUCCUCUUUGGUUGGAUCUCUUGGAGGUCAUCUUGGAGGUCCUCCUUGAUUGGCCUCCUAAUUUGGGCCUCCAGGAGGUUCUUUUGGAGAUCCUCCUGGAUUGGACCUCUUGGAGAUCAUCUUGGAGGUCUCCCUUGGUUGGCCUCCAGGAGGUUCUCUUGAAGGUCAACCUGGAUUGGACCUCCUGGAGGUCCUCCUGGAGACCCUUUUUAAUUAACCUCCCUAAUUGGACCUCCAGGAGCUCCUUUUUUAAUUAACCUCCCUAAUUGGACCUCCUGGAGGUCCUCCUGGUGGACCUCCAUGGUUGACCUCCUGGAGGUCCUCCAGGAGCUCCUUUUUAAUUAACCUCCCUAAUUAGACCUCCAGGAGCUCCUUUUUUAAUUAACCUCCUUAGUUAGACCUCCAGGAGCUCCUUUUUAAUUAACCUCCUUAAUUGGACCUCCUGGAGGUCCUCCUGGUGGACCUCCAUGGUUGUCCUACUGGAGGUCCUCCUGGAGUUCCUCUUUAAUUAACCUCCUUAAUUAGACCUCCAGGAGCUCCUUUUUUAAUUAACCUCCUUAAUUGGACCCCCAGGAGGUCCUUUUUUAAUUAACCUCCCUAAUUGGACCUCCAGAAGCUCCUUUUUUAAUUAACCUCCUUAAUUAGACCUCCUGGUGGUCCUCCUGGUGGACCUCCAUUGUUGACCUCCUGGAGGUCCUCUUUAAUUAACCUCCUUAAUUGGACCUCCAGGAGCUCCUUUUUUAAUUAACCUCCUUAAUUAGACUUCCUGGAGGUCCUCCUGGUGGACCUCCAUGGUUGACCUCCUGGAGGUCCUCCUGGAGUUCCUCUUUAAUUAACCUCCCUAAUUAGACCUCCAGGAGCUCCUUUUUUAAUUAACCUCCUUAAUUGGACCUCCAGGAGCUCCUUUUUUAAUUAACCUCCUUAAUUGGACCUCCUGGAGGUCCUCCUGGUGGACCUCCAUCGUUGACCUCCUGGAGUUCCUCUUUAAU